UUCAUUAUGAGUGUGUUUUCUUUUGUGUGUUUGACCAUAGUUACAAUUGCUGCUUUAAAAUCCUUGUCUUCUAAUUCCAACAUCUUAGUUAUCUUGAAGUCAGUCUCCAUAGAUUUCUAUUCUUUUCAACCUUUUCUAUUAAAAAUGAGUCAUGUCAUAUGCAUGUCAAAUAAUUUGAAUUCUAUCCUGAAUGUUCUGAAUGUUAUAUUCUAGAGACUCUGGAUUCUGUUUUAGUCUUCCAAAGAGUAUUGAUUUUUUUUGUUUGUUUGUUUGUUUGAGUAGACAAUUAACUUGCUUGUGUUCAUACCGCACUCUCUGUUUCUUGGGAACAUCUCAAAUCUCCCUUCAGUUUUUAUCCUAAGCCAGCUGUUUGCAGUCAACACUGCACUUGUGUAUUCAGAGACUUCCACAAAAGUUUAUAUACAAAACUUGGACCUUACCCCUUUGGGUAUCCGUUUUCCAAGAGUCCCUCCUCGUUUUAUGAUGGCUAUGGUUGCCCUGAGCUCUGUUCUCUGAUUCUUCAGGCCAUAAACACAGCAGGUUUUCUGAUGGAGUGUUAGCUGCUCUGUGCUGCCUGACUUUGGCCUUCUCUUGGGCCAGAAGCCACAAAAAUGGGAAACUCAUCUUUGUCUUUCCUUCCUUUCAAGUGCCAACUAACCCUCCAGAAUAUGCCUGUCUUUGUUCACUCUCCAGUGGCUUCAGGUGGUUGUUUUUUGUACUUUUCACAGAGUUUGUUAUCUGCAAGAGGGUUAAUCUGGGAGGAGCUUUCUAAGCCAUACUGGAAGCUGAGCUCCUCCGGACUGGUUUUGGUAAUUUCUGUGCCAUGCAAAAACUCUGAUCCUAGAAAAACUUAGAGAAGCACAGACUGUAGACCACGAAGUCCCAUACAUAGCAUGGAAUGUGGGUUCACUUUUCUCACAGGUGAUUCCUUUUCCAUCUUUGGUCCACGAUCAGUGGCACAUUUCUGUUCAGUGUUUCUGGGCCAGCGAGGGCGGUAUUUCUAUUCCCCUUUUGCAAUGAGUUAAGUUCAAAUAUCUACACCUGUGAGGUCUGAAUCUUCCCAAAGGAGGUUAAAAUAUAAACCCCAUGAUGCAUAUCUAGUGGAAACCCUCUGUGGGCUCUUUGGCAUCAACUCCUAUGCAUUACUCUGCCUUGGAGUUCUUUCUCCAUUUCAAGCACUUGUGGUUGCCCUGCUCCAAUUUGGCUAAAGAUUAAAAUUUUUUUUUGUUCAAUUUUAUCCAGCAUUCCUAUGUAUUUGAACUGGCGGUGGGGUGUGAGGUUCCUGUGUCUGUUCAACUUGCUGCCUUCGCUGACAGGCAACUGCUACAACUCUUGCUGAUACAAGUAUCAGUUUGCUUAGCUGCCUCUGUCUGGGGUUGGGGAGGUGCUCAUUCAAGAGGAACCUCACCCCCCGAGUUACAGAUUCCUCUGCCCCAAAUCUUGGCGUAAGCUCCCAGGGCCUGAGACAAGGGGCGGUUGAGUAAUGCCACCCUGUGUUUGAUUUAAAGUCGUUCUGGACCAGAUACGCCGACCUGGUAUUCCAGGACUCCCCUGGGGCACCUUGCCUCUCUCCUGCUUCAGAAUGACUUUCUUCUCUCCAAGUUUAACCCCUCCCUUUUUAAUUUGGAGACGGACUUUGUCCUCUCUUGUUGCUAAAGCUUUACCCUUUGUGCCGGGAUCCAAGUGUCAGUCUGCAGUCUUUCUCCCAGAUCUGCCCACAAGCAGAUCUCCCUGAUGGUGGCAUGUUCUGUUGUGUGAGAAUUCCCCAGGCGGUAUAUAGGCUCCACCCAGCUCCAAUUUUGCCCUGUCCUUCCCCAUCCCUGUCCCUUCAUUUCCCUCAAGGUCCUGUUUUCUUCUAUAUACAAACAAAAACUAGUGACACAUUUUUUUAGGUGCCCUUUUUGUGGGCACAGCCCUGGCAGUAAUGAGAACCCAGCUGGUGCAAAGAACUUUCACAAAUUCUGCAAGUGGAGGGCUUUUUCUUUCCAUAUGGAUUGACUUUUGCUUCUUUGGAAGUCAAAGCUUUAUUUUUGUUCAGCUUCCUUCCACCAAUUUCUGUGGUAUUCCUUGCACAUGGAAAGAUGUGUAUCUGGAGUAUAAUGGUGCCAAGUUUCUUUGCACAUUUUCUGCACACUGUCCGUCUGCUGAAGGUUCCCUUAGCCAGAGAACCACAGCUUUUUCUAGAGUCAGGAUGAUUUCCUUUGGGCAGAUUCCCAGGAAUUGGACUACUGGGUCUCAGAGAAUGAACCAGGUAGAGUCUUGGAGUAUGUUGCCAAAGAGGCCAUGAGGGUCAUUGGGUUUUCUGUGCUCCGUCAGCUGUACCCCUUUGCAGAUGGAUAGGACUGGUCUGUCUGCACAAAAGCUCAUGGUGGGAGGGUCUGCCAGCCCUCAGGAGAAGACACAGUCACAUGCAUUCACUAUUGACUUUCAAAAUAUCUCCACCCAUGUUCUGACCCCACCCCUCAACAUGUUUGUUUGCAGUUGGAUAGUUUUGUUUCCCUCACUCUCUCUUAAUUAUGACUUAACUCCUAAAACUUGGGCAAACACUCCCAGUAUCAUAAGGGGCUGGCUGGCAGGACAGCCUGUGCCCCAUUAUGGUAUUUUACUCACCUUUCAGCCAGGAGCCAUCCUCCUUACCAGAGCCAUUGCCAUGGCAACCGUCCUCCUUUGGGCGAUAAGUAUGGGUGGCAAAGUCCACAUGCUUAAUAUGUUUGAUAUUUUACCUUUCAAAAAAUUCUUUGGGGAGAUUCAAGUUGGCUCAUUGAACAAAAUAAAUAAGCUUUUUAUUGUCAACAAGGGCUAAGGGCAGCAGCUCUGAUAACAGGGAAAGCCAGAACUGGUCAAAAACCUGAGACCAGAGUGAGCUGGUCACAUCCGGCUCCACUUGAGACAAGAAAGGAAUGGGAACGCUCUCAGUGGCUGUGGAAGCUGGCUCAGACCCCAGACAGCUUUGGGGAGCUCCAGCCUGAGAAUAGCGCUGAGAUGAAAGGAGCCUCAGCCCGAACCCAAUCUCAGGGACAUUUGGCUGCCACUGCUGGAGGGGUCAGGGGUUUCCCCUGCAAACAGUGUCCUCUGGGGGCCCUGGCCCUUUCCUGCCCUUUUGGGUGGCAUCACACCACAGUUCUCUUUAGCCUGGAAGCCCUUAGAAGUGCACACAUGUCACGCAGCAUACUGAGAGCUUUGUAGAGGCUGAAUGUGUCAGCUCAGACAGGGACCAGCUAGCCUGAUAGCCUCCCCCAAACCUGCCAUCUGCCUGCCCACCAUUUACAAUACAUUUGCUUUUGCUUGACAUUUUUUUUUACCUUAAGAAUUAAAGAUUGAAGUUUUACAGUAUAUUCUUUUAAGUAAUAUGCUUCUUGGCUUCAUACUUUAAGGAUAUUUCCUCCCUCCCUCCUUCCCUUCCUUCCUUCCUUUGCAUGUAUGUAUGUAUUCUGCCUGUUUACUGGGAUUCACUGUGGUGUAGUGGAAAGAGUGAGGUGUGGAACCAGCCGCACCCUGAGUGGGAUCCACACUUUCCUCUUAGCUGUGUAGCCGUAACAUAGGGUGACCAGCUGUCCUAGUUUGCAGGGGGCUGAGGGGUUUCCUGGGAUGCAGACUUUCAAUGCUAAACCCAGGACAGUCCUGGACAAACCGGGACAGUUGAUUACCUUACUUGGGCAAGACAUUUAGCCUCUCUUAGCCUUGGUUUCUUCAUCUGUGAAACGGGCCUAAUCAUACUUGUCUCAUGGGUUAUUUCAAGGAUUGGGGCUAUUGUACAAAAAGGGACUGAAGCUGUGUCUCAGAUCUACCUGAUGAUUUUGAUAGUAAUAUUAAUAUUAAUAAUUAUCUAUUUUUUUUAAGUCUCAAAGUGAUCUUUCACCAUCAUUCAUUUCGGCCAUCAAUGCUUUUCUCUUAAUUUCUAACAUCUGUUCAGGAAGGAGGGGUUGAUUUUGUUCUCUUUGUUCUUAUGUAAGCCUGGGUUUCUAAAACUAUGCUUUGCCCAAUUAAAAAAAAGCUACUGAAUUUUGCCUGACUCCUAACAUCUCUGAGUAGAGUCUAAGGGUAAUACACCAACUGAGAUUGAGAUUAUCUUUUAGAAACCCUGAGAAACCCGCUGAGGCCCCUAAAGUCUUCCUCUUUUGAUAUAAGACACACAGAUCUUACUAAGCCGCUUCUUUACCAGAUGAAGGUCUGAGGGGUUCCCGGUGUUGAAUGUUUGGGAGCUGAGGGUCUGCUCUGGAUCCUUCCCUACACAGGAGUGGAGGCCCAGGCCACCUGCCCACUUUAGACCACCCGCCCCAGAGCAAGCCCGUCCUCACUCUUUUGGGUUGGCCCUUCUGUCCAGAAAAAGGGUUGGAAACUGGGGAGGCACAUGGGGUAGGAGUGAGGAGAUGAAGUCUGGGUGACUUUGGAGAGGGGGUAAGAGGUUAAACCUGGGUGUGCACUCCAGUCCUUGUUCUGGGUCCGCCUGCCAUGGCUGAGCAAGGCCCUGAGCAUGUCCUUGUCCACGAUGAGGGUGUGGGCCUCUGCUCUCCCAUCUUCAGAGGUGAGUAGGGGUGAUGAAAUGGAGAAAUGAAUGCCAAAGAGUCACCAAAAGGAAGACAAACGAUAACAACACAGUGUGAGGGCAGUUUCUGGGCUCACGACCAUUUUAUUUUAUUGGUUCAGAAUAAACAGAGAGCUCAGCUCAGCCAGGGCUUACCAGCUUCCUUCUUCUAAGCUGCCUGAGAUGGCCAGGUGUCCAGGUAACAGGCUGCACCUGCCCUUGUGGACUUCCUGUCUGGAUGUUAUUACUAUUUUUCAGUUGUGGUGAAAAACACAUAGCAUCAUAUUCAGCAUAGUAACCACUUUUCAGUGCAUAGGUAAGUGAUAUUAAGUAGAUUCACGUUGUUGGGCCGUGUCUGGAUGCUAUUUUCUAUUUUUUGAUUCUUCAUCAGUUUUUAGUUUUAUUUUUUCUCUGGAUAUAAAAUGAAAAUAUUCUCAUUGAAGAAAAUUUAGAAAGUAUGGAAAAGUACACAUAAAGAAAAAGUAUCAUUAUGUCUCCAACCAGAAGCAACCACUUUAAAAAUAUUUUGGAAUGUAUUUCUUUCCGGGGCAUUUUUCAAUGUACUAUUUAAAAGGAUUAAUAUCUAAAAAUAUCUGAAUAAUUUAAUGGCUGUAUAUUAGUUUACUUAUGUAUAAACUAUGAUUGAUUUAAGUCUUCCUUUAGUUGGAUUUUAGAUUGAUCCAAUUUCACUAUUUUAAACAAUUGAGAUAUCUGACAAGAGAUUUUCACAUAUUGAGGUAUAUGGGGUAGCUAUUCUGGUCCAAAACUGAUUCGACUUGAACUAAGGAAGCCUGACUUCCAGCCUUCACACACACACUGUACGUCUGCUUUAGCCAUUAAAGUAAAGAAUUCAUGCUUUGGAGAAAAGAAUGCAGACUUCCCCGCCUGCGACGCCAGUAUGGGUAACGCCCACCAGUAUCGGUAAACGUGCUGUCAGUACUCCUAAAGAUAAGUUCCCUUUCCCAGACAUGAGGGUCAUGUUGACCUGCUGAUUUUCAACUGCCUAUAUCCUUGAAACUUUGAUGAAUAUGUAUCCCGGGCAUGUUUGAUGUGUGUUCUUUGUUCUAAAAAGGUAUAAAACUGUCCUGAAAACCAUGCUUCUCUGGAAUGCUUUCUUGGUUUGUGGAGACCGCCUGCCUGGGUUAUGAUCCUCAGCUUGGCUCCAGUAAAACCACCCUCUCUCUCCUAUCUAGAGAACGAUUAUUGGUAAUUUGCAUCAACAUUUCUUUGGGCAUAAAUAUUUAUGAUUAUUUCCUUAGGGGAAGUUCAAAACAGGGAAAUUGCUGGAUGAAAGGACAAAUAUUUUUAGCCUUCUCUUAUAUUAGAUAUAACUUUAUCUUUACUUUCCCCCAAAAUAUAAGUUAAAGAUAGGGCAAAAUAUGAUAUUUUCUAUGGAAGGGACUUAUGUUCCUUUUCUCCAAGCAAGACCCAAAUCUCCCUGGAAGGUUCUCUGAGGAAGUCUCUGGGUUCUUUUAGCAACUGUCUAUAGAAGGGGUGGCUGAGAGAUUUCAUCUUACUUGGUCAUUAGGUAGUAGCUGCAUUUAGUCUUGAGUAUUGUGGUGGUGUGCAGACUAAAACCCAUCACUGUGAGACCCUUUUGUUUUCACAUCAGAAUUAAACACUUUUGUUCCAGAAUGGGAUUUGCAUACAGCUGAAGCAUUUUAGUGAUAUUUUGUCUCCACAGUGUAGUAUCUUGUAUGGGGGACUGGAAUUGGCCACCCUAAGAUAUCAGGAAAGAGAUGCCUCCUUUUGGCAAGAUUCCCUAGCUGAAGGAUGGCAUAUGCCUAGAAAUAUGAGCAGCCAUCACUAUCCUGUGGGGACAACUUGCCUGAGAAGCAAACCAACAGAGAGGAAAGCAAAACUGAGAAGAGGGCAGAAAAAGGGACACUUUCCGGCUGGUGACACAAAGAAGAGCUGCAGUGGAGAGCCCUGGAGACGCUGGGAGAGUCUGGCUGGAAUUAGCAGAUGCCAGCGGAAGCAGAAAGGCAUGGUUUCCACAAACUGAAAUCACUUUGGUCAGGUUCCCCAUAGAAGAGAAGGUUCCUGAACCUUUAGUCAUAAAGUUCUUCCAUAUCCCUGGGCUGUCAUGCUGGCUGCAAAUUACACAUUAGGAUGGACUCGCAUCAAACAUCUGAUUGGUCGGGGAGGGGAGACUCACUUGGUUUCCUCGGGCGCCAGGCCCCGGCAGGCGACGCACAUCAUCACGCCUCCAAUGAGCGUGAGGCCUCCAGCGACCCAGCCCACAAACAGAGCCGAACCGAAGGUGUACCUGAGCGGGGAGACGGUGGCUGUGAAUGUGGGUGACUCAACUCCCCAGGUUCCCCACACGGCACCUGGCCAUGCCCAUCCUUUCUGGAUUCCACAUCUAUCCCCACCCACGCCCCCGAAACAUACACUCCUUUGGGUCACAGGCAACGUUCUCAGGUGCCCUGGAGGAUGGACUUGGGACUGAAGCUAAUCAGCGAAACAGCAGGAGAUUCUUGGGCCCCUAGCAUCACUCAGGCAGAGAAAUACCUGUUAGUGUCUAAUCCCAGAGAAACACCUCAGGAAAGCCCCCUCCUCCCUACUGGCAAAGGGGAGUGUCUCGAAGGUUUGGCCAGAAAAGUUCGAGAGAUAUGGACUAUCUCCAGUUAUUAUUUCUGAAGGAGUUUUGGUCCUUUGAGUUCUUACUUUGGGCCAAGAAGCUUUCGUCUUAUCUAACUCAAGGAACCCCGGCAACCACCCACUCAGGCAGGAGUGAAAGUUUGGAGUCAAGACAACUCGGAGGUGUAAUUCAUGCCCCAUAGCUCCUCAGGAUCAGGCGGAGUGCAAGGCUUAAUCUGAAAGCAUGCCCUUCCCUGUCCUGCUUGCCCCCUCCCCAUCCAGUCUCCCCUUCUCUAGUAAAUCACUUACACACGGAUCCUCAGGAUCUGUUUCUGAGUAACCCAACCUCUGGCACUUCUAAUUUUUAAAAGUUGAUGAUUAAUUCAGGUUAUAAAAUGAAAGGCUAACACAAAACACCUCACAAGCCGUGUAUCGUGUGAAGGCAGGAGCUUUGUGCUCUGGUCCAGGGCUUAGACUCUGCCAAUGUUUUACUCAAUGCAGCAAUGGCAGAGGAGGGGAUCCUGGGACCGAAUGGGGAACCAGAACCAAAGCCCCAUCAAUUGGCUGCCAAGAUCUUUCUUGGUAGCUAUGCUGUCUUGUGUGAAUUCUGGGUAGAACAGAUGAGAAGACAGAAAGAAGGGGGGAAACCACAGCCCAUCCGUGGAUAAAGAUGUUCUGGAGGCCUUUCAGAAUCCUGUAAUUUCAGUCUCAGGACUGAAGUUGCCUGCCCCAGGGACAGGGGCAGGUUCCAGGGAGAUGGCAGGAGAGAGUGACGACAGGCAUUAGUGCUGGGUGCCAGGUGGGUGGGUGACUCUUCUGGUCAGGAGCAGUGACACUAGGUACCCAGAUACUUUGGACAAGGUGGGCUUUUCUAUGUAGGAUGACAACCAUCCUGAUUUGUCUGUGACAGAGGAGUUUCCCAGGAUGUGGGACUUUCAAUGCUAAAGCUGGGAAAGUCCCAGGAAAACCAGGACGAGUUGGUCAGGGUACUUCUAAGUUGCCCUUGUAAGCAAGAGACCAUGGGAAGGCCAUGGAGAAGGAUGAGGGCAGCUUGUGGGGAUCACUUCCUUCCCAUUCUUGAAAUAAAGCAGGAACAAGGAUGGGGAUUAGAGUUCCAGGGAGCCAGAGAGUAAUGGAUUUAUAUAUCCUCACACCCUGCCUGUAUCCCAUGAUGGUGUGGCUGGAGAAAUACCAAGUGGAUCCAUUCCGCAGACAACGAGUCACUAAGGUAUAAUAUUUACAUUGUUGUCCCAGAACAAGAUCUUUCUCCUUCAGGAAUUUGCUGCUGCUUCUGGCUAUGAAAUAUGUUCCUUUGAAGUGGCUAAAUGAAUACGGGUGUGGAAUUCCUCUUCCAUUUUUUAAAAGUUCUACCCUUCUUCAGACACCAAAUUAUAGUGGGGUUUUAUCUCCCUCUCCUCGACUGUAACCUCCAUGAGAAUGGGGACCUUCUCUUUAUCCCCAGCACUCGGGACAGUUCCUGGCCCACAGCAGGUGCUCAAUAAAUUUGUAAAAUGAAUGAAUUAAUGAAUGAGAGAAAAAAGCAGCUGUACAAGGAAGAAACAUUACUUUCCUCACCUAAACUACACCUUGCUCAUUUCUAUUCCAGCUUUUACCUGUCCCUAGCCAGGUUCCUGUCAUGGACUGGAGAUGCGGGUUGAUACUCAUUUACAUGCCUGGGUUAACAGUGCCUGUUUCAUUGCCACCACAAUGGGGCCUGUGUAAGAGUGUUAGAUAAAUACUGUGAACUGUCGCUGUAUUUCAAUGCAAAUGUCAGAUCAGCCCCAAGUCAUAUCACUGAGGAUAUUUCACUGAAAUGAAGUUUAUGAAUUUACAGAUCAUUGUUGAUUUAUGAUAUGGCAUGGUUGUCUCUGAUAAAUUUUUGCUAUUUCAGGCACUGACAAUCACAUUAGGCAUAUGUAUUUAAUCGGAUUUUUACAACAAUAUUCCCCAUGGAAUACGGAGACUAGAUUAGGAGGUUACCUGGUCUGAACAGUCUGCACCAUCCCACCCAUGCCGGUGUACAUGUUAGCUGUAGACAUCCAGAAGUUAGUAACCAGCAUGUUGGCAAACACAGACACUCCAGCGAUUGCACAAAUACCUGUGGGCAAAGAAUAAGAAAGCUCCAGAGUCAGUUUUAAAGAGAUCACCAUGUUUCUGAGGCAGCGUGUGCGUAAAUGAGUGUAGAGGAGCAGGCUGCAGAAUAUCCUGUUCCCAUAACAGAGUGGUCAAUCCAAGCACUGAUUAUUGAAGUCCCACUAUGUGCUAGAUGUUAUAUUAGGUGCUUAGACUCUCUUAUCUCCCUAAUUGUGGAAGGAUUUACAUGUGCACAGAAAGAGAUUUUUCUACGGAUUUUGGGACUGGGGGUCAAUAGUACAAAUAUUUUGGGCCUGGUCCUUUGACUAUGUUAAGAGCUCUUCCCUUAAAAUCAUUUUCUAGAGUCUUACCAAAAUAAUGCCUUUGGGGAUUGAGUCACAUGACUACCCUAGGGUUGAGAGUCUCUUAUAACGGGGUGGGGUUGGCAGCUGAGAGGAGCUUUAGCACUUGUGAUAAUUCCGUAGAGUGUAAUGGGGCCUUAAUCUCAGAUUUUGAAUCCCAGUGUGUAAAGCUCUGAUCCAUGUUCAGAUCACACUCAGUAGAGAGAACCGUGUUUCCUCUACCAGAAAGAUUUUGCUUUGACAUUCCCAGCAGCAUAUUUGAGAGGGGGAACCCCAGGCUCCUUGUUCACCUGAGAUGAUGAACAUGAUCCCAGACGUCAGUGUCAUGUUGGCCUUGGCAGAGUCCUCCAUGUUGCCAAUGCGGAUGCACUUCAGGGCAAAGAUGGACACCAGGAGGCCAAUGGCACCCAGGACAAUGCCCACGACCAUCAGGGCUCGCACUGCCUGCAGCAUGGCUGCAAGACAAGGGGCAAGAGACAAGCAGACAAAUAAGACCACUUGAACAAAGCUUUGUUAAUAAAACACUGCAACCACAACCAACUAGCACCAAACUGCUGAGAAAUAGCAAUUCCAUAAACUGUGAACCUUGUCGUUGUCAGGGGAUGUGGAAUUGUGGGAAAUGCAAAACUAUUGCUUACAAUCAUCUAAUUGAUGGAGGACACGCAUGUGAAUGUAGAAUGAGACAAUUAGGGACUGCUGGAGCUGGGAGGGCCAAUGGAAUUUAACUAUUUUAUUUCCCCAUUUUAAAGCUUGAUAAUCUGGGGCUCAGGAAGGGGAAAUGGCCUGAUUAAGGUGACAUUAAAAAUUACUGAUAGAACUUGGAGUAAAACUAUCUUGCUUUGACUUCUAACCCAAACGUCUUUCUUCUCUGGUCUUUCCAUAUAGGCUCAAUGCUUCAUAUAGUUGGGUCUGCUUUAGGAAAACGCAGUGUUCAUUUAUAGCAUAUAAUAAAGCAAGGUCACUAGGUGAUA